AGCUGAGAUUAGGAGUCUUGAGGGUACCCCUAAUUAUGGUCCCCGACAGGUGGAGUCCUAUAUGAUUCUCCAGCUUGCCUACACCAAGGAGUACAUUGAUGGGCAAUUCUCUGGAAACCUUGGAUAGAUCCUAAUCAGGUUAAGGCUGGAGACUUAUUAUGAAAAUAUUCGGUCCUUGUUAUCAACAUAUGAGGACAUUAUUGUCAAAGUAGGCACCAUCUCUUUUAAAGCAUAUGCUCCAUCACUUAGUACAUUUGAUGAAAUCAUCCUAGCAUGGAUUCAUAUGACAUCACCUCUACGCCACAUGGAUAUUACCUAUUUCUCGGUUGCUUCAUUUUUUUCAUAAUAUGCAGUAGAGCUGUUGUAAUGUGAUAUGCACAGCUCUUCCUAGCAUGUGUAAUUCUGAAUGAGACCUUUUUAUGCUGCUGCAGCGCCUGUGGCCACAAAUGAUUGUUGCAACACGACCAUACUCUAAGAGUGGAGCUAUCUAUAUGAAGAGUGUAGGUAGAGGCAAUUGGCUAACUUGUCGGUACUCAUGAAUAAAUAUUUUGACAUAGUUGUUAAAUGUUUGUUCAAUACCAGUUUAU